UAGAUUACUAGGUAUUUCCUCAUCGGAGAUGCAAUGCCUUCUGCAAAUCUGUUACUUUAUUUCCAGGAUGGUGUUUUCGUUGCAGAUCAUUGGCUUGUGAAUGGGAAACAUUAUUCAUAGACAAGGUGAAGACGAGUAACUCUGCAAUUGUGCUAAUAAAAAUAGACUUGGUUAAGAAGCUUUACUUCCUGGGAAAAAGUGCAGAACUUGCCAAAUCAACUACUCUGUUGUGGUUGGCAUGGAUCAUCUCAUUCGUCAAGAUACAUUGAAAUCUCGCGGUCAGGAGUGGCUCAAAAGAAUGGACCAGUACUUGGCUUCCAUUAAGCCAAUAAAGGAUUCCACCUAUGGUAAAGAUCAAGCUGUUAAAUGGACCGUCAACAGGAGAACAUUCUUCAUUGCUGUUGCAGAACUCUUUGCAUAGAACAAUGGAGAAGGGUGGAUGGUUGCACAUUUCCUAUUUAAGAAAAAAAUGAAGGAUUCCUAGCUCCUUUUCAGCAGAAAAUACUAUGGUGGAAGAGGUGGUGCUGUGAAUCUCGUUGUCAAAGUCAAUAAAGCCUUCAUGAUAUGGUCUAAGCGAAUCGGUCGAUUGAAUAAGGAGGAUGUACUUUAGCAUUUCGAAAGCGUAACCCAUCAUCAGGUGAAUAACAGUAUUCUUAUAUCACAAGUAAAGUUGCAAUUGGGCUCCCAGAAUCAAUCAGGAACUGCUUUAUGGACAGCUAUGCUCCAAGUUUCUCCGUUCAAUUAAAAUUCCCUUCUUUGAUUUCAGUUUUCAA